UACGUAGGGUGCGAGCGUUGUCCGGAAUUAUUGGGCGUAAAGAGCUCGUAGGCGGUCUGUCGCGUCGAUCGUGAAAACUUGGGGCUUAACCCUGAGCUUGCGGUCGAUACGGGCAUGACUGGAGUUCGGCAGGGGAGACUGGAAUUCCUGGUGUAGCGGUGAAAUGCGUAGAUAUCUGGAGGAACACCGGUGGCGAAGGCGGCAUCCUGGACCGGUAUUGACGCUGAGGCGCGAAAGCCAGGGGAGCAAACAGG
rnacentral:rRNA from 1 species